AUUAGGAGAAGAGGGGAAGUUGUUUUUAUUCUGGCAACUGAAUAUAAUUUAUCAUUCGGUUAGCAAUUACUUUAAUUAGGUAUGUUAGAUUUUUCAAGAAAAACAUCUUUAUUCUUUCCUUCAAUUAUUUAAACAUCAUUAAAAAUUCUAUAAGAUAAGUUAGUACCUUAAAUGAUAAUGAGACCAUAUUUAGAACAAAAGUUUUGGAAGAAUAAGCAGGUAGGUAGGUAUAUGAUUAAAUUAAAUCGUAUUUUAAAUAUAUUGAAAGAGAUCCAAUAAUUUUACGUUUUUUAAUUGACUUUUAACAGGUUUAUUAAACGUGGAGAAGCUACAUAAUUGUCUGAAACACCUUCACCAUUUUGUUGGUAAUGUUGGUAUGCAACUAUGCUGGAGGAGUGGGUAUCUUUUUAAUAAUAUAUAAUUAGGUUUUUUUUUUUUUUUUU